rnacentral:tRNA from 1 species
CAGGGUGUAGGCAAAUUGGUUUGUCACCUGCUUUGGGAGUAGGAUUAAUGCUGGUUCGAGUCCAGUCACCCUGA